GGACUAUGGCUCAGUGGUAGAGCAUCCGCAUGACAUGCAGAAGGUCCCAGAUUCAAUUCAUGACAUCUCCA
rnacentral:tRNA from 1 species